UACUUAGGGAUCUGUCCUGGAGAGGGGGAUAACCAUUGGAAACGAUGGCUAAUACCGCAUAACGUCUACGGACCAAAGGGGGCUUUCGGGCUCUCACUCUGGGAGGAACCUAAGCGAGAUUAGCUAGUUGGUGGGGUAAAGGCUCACCAAGGCGACGAUCUCUAGCUGUUCUGAGAGGAAGAUCAGCCACACUGGGACUGAGACACGGCCCAGACUCCUACGGGAGGCAGCAGUGGGGAAUAUUGCACAAUGGGGGAAACCCUGAUGCAGCCAUGCCGCGUGUGUGAAGAAGGCCUUCGG
rnacentral:rRNA from 1 species